GACGAACGCUGGCGGCGUGCUUAACACAUGCAAGUCGAACGAUGAAGCCCAGCUUGCUGGGUGGAAGAGUGGCGAACGGGUGAGUAACACGUGAGUAACCUGCCCUGAACUCUGGGAUAAGCACUGGAAACGGUGUCUAAUACUGGAUACGACCUAUCACCGCAUGGUGUGUGGGUGGCAAGAUUUAUCGGUUCUGGAUGGACUCGCGGCCUAUCAGCUAGAUGGUGAGGUAAUGGCUCACCAUGGCGACGACGGGUAGCCGGCCUGAGAGGGUGACCGGCCACACUGGGACUGAGACACGGCCCAGACUCCUACGGGAGGCAGAAGUGGGGAAUAUUGCACAAUGGGCGCAAGCCUGAUGCAGCAACGCCGCGUGAGGGAUGACGGCCUUCGGGUUGUAAACCUCUUUUAGUAGGGAAGAAGCGAAAGUGACGGUACCUGCAGAAAAAGCACCGGCUAACUACGUG
rnacentral:rRNA from 1 species